UUGGUACUAAUCUUUCCGUGCCAAUCAUCGUACCACGUCAAUAUAAAAAAGAUGAAUUAUAGUCAUAAUCUAAUCAAUUUGAGCAUGAACAAACUAGAGUUGUAAUGAACAAAUAUAGUCGUAUAAAAUAUCGGUUACAAACACUAACACUGUGUACAUAACCAUCUGAUCUAUACUUUACCACGGCUAUGCUGCACACUACAAUGCUACUGACACAACUUAGAUUAUGUCUUCAAUUUAACUUAGUAACAUAAUAGCGAAUACAUAGUUAUUUGACAUCAACAAUUUAUUGACAACAUCAACCUAUUAUAACCAUGUUAAGUCUCACAAAAACUGUGGUCAUGAUUUACAAUCCUCAAUUAUUUAUACACCUAAUCUAUGGAAGAACUUCAUAUAUUUAUGACCCCUUCAGUUCAAGUAAUGGCGUUUCCUACUUAGUCAACUACUUUUUUAUUUCUUUACAUUGAAUAUUCGUGUCCGUUUGUAUAGAGUAAGCAAAACUAUAUAGAUCUACUUGGAUUCCAGCGAUAAUCCUACCACAGUGCCAGCGAACGAUUCACUUUUCUGCAAGAAUCGAAAGAGACCAACGUACCUUUCCUCCCCGUCCUCCUUACUCCGAUCUGUUCGAAAUGAAAUAUGGAUCAGUUAGUCGAAUCAAAUCCAACAAACAUCAUUCGAUAGCUCUUAACUAUCUAUCAUAUACCAACCAACUUCC
rnacentral:lncRNA from 1 species